rnacentral:rRNA from 1 species
UACGUAGGGGGCUAGCGUUAUCCAGAAUUACUGGGCGUAAAGCGCGUGUAGGCGGCUGGUUAAGUGUGAUGUGAAAUCCUCGGGCUCAACCCGAGAACUGCAUUGCAAACUGGCCUGGCUAGAGUGCAGGAGAGGGAAGCGGAAUUCCAGGUGUAGCGGUGAAAUGCGCAGAUAUCAGGAGGAACACCCGUGGCGAAGGCGGCUCUCUGGGACGGUACUGGCGCUGAGACGCGAAAGCGUGGGGAGCGAACAGG